GUGGGGAAUAUUGCGCAAUGGGCGAAAGCCUGACGCAGCGACGCCGCGUGAGGGAUGAAGGUUUUCGGAUCGUAAACCUCUGUCAGAAGGGAAGAAACUACGUUGUGCUAAUCAGCAGCGUACUGACGGUACCUUCAAAGGAAGCACCGGCUAACUCCGUGCCAGCAGCCGCGGUAAUACGGAGGGUGCAAGCGUUAAUCGGAAUUACUGGGCGUAAAGCGCACGUAGGCUGUAGUGUAAGUCAGGGGUGAAAUCCCACGGCUCAACCGUGGAACUGCCUUUGAUACUGCACAACUUGAAUCCGGGAGGGGGUGGCGGAAUUCCAGGUGUAGGAGUGAAAUCCGUAGAUAUCUGGAGGAACAUCAGUGGCGAAGGCGGCCACCUGGACCGGUAUUGACGCUGAGGUGCGAAAGCGUGGGGAGCAAACGGGAUUAGAAACCCCUGUAGUCC
rnacentral:rRNA from 1 species